rnacentral:lncRNA from 1 species
CAAUUUUGUAUGUUCUUCCUGGUAAAAAUUCGAGACAACAUUUGGAACUGUACUAUUAGUAUUAGUUAGCUGAUAGAUUUUCUGGUUUGAGCUAUUGUGCUUUUGGCCUUGUUCUGUGUACCCUUAUAUGUAACAUAAAUCGAAUGAAAAAAGAAUCGAAGACUAUGGAAAUGGUUAUGAAUUUCAUUUUAGGGAUGAUCUCUUUUUUUUUCUUCUUUUAAAGGGUUUGUGGAAUCGUAGCUUUUUGAGCUCAAGUAUUCUAUCAUAAAUUAUAACAGGCAGAGACGAUUUGAAAAUCCUAUGGGACCAUUCUUCUCUGGCAUUCAUCCUAGGUGGUUCCAUGGCUUUGCAAAUAAAUACUGGGAAAGCAUUUUGAGUUUCACCUUUAAAAUGAAGCUAUUAAUUGAGGGGCUCUGGACCCAUGUAUGUUUUCUGGUUCAAUGCUUCCUCUUCAAAGCUUGAGAAGUGCAUGGGCUUUCUCCAGAGAUGAUGGUGAAGCAAGAGUGGUAUGGUGGGUGUCAAUGGCUAGGAAAGUCAUCUUUCCCUCUUGUUGCACCGCACUUAAAGGUAGUGGAGAGGGAAGAAUAUUUUGAUGCCUUGGGUGGACAUGAGUGAGGGAGGAACGGAAAUUGGGGACAUCCCUUGCCUUCAUUCGAUCACAAUUUUGAAAGGAGGAUAAACUAUGUGAAUUUUUACCUAGAAGCACCUCAACAC